rnacentral:tRNA from 1 species
CGCGGGGUGGAGCAGAGGCAGCUCGUCGGGCUCAUAACCCGAAGGUCGCAGGUUCGAGUCCUGCCCCCGCUACCA